UCGCGAUGGGGGACGGGUCGGCCCGGCGCUCCGAGAAGGCGCCCGGGGCCCUCGACCCCGCCGCGGGCCCGUUCGACGCCGCGGUGGCGGCC
rnacentral:tRNA from 1 species